rnacentral:ncRNA from 2 species
AACUAAAUAGGUGAUGAAGUUCGCCAUAAUCAUCCUCAUGGAUUAAUGACUUCUACAAUAAG